GAACUGCUCCAUGGAAAGAGGGAAAAAAGAGCAGUCAGGCCGGGUCUCGUUUGAUUUCUCUCGCUCCUGCUGCACUCGCUAGCCCCCCUGAAAACGCUUGGUAGCAAUACCGCUGCCUUUGCUGCCCACCCUCCGUUCCCUACCAGAAGAGCUCUGCCAGCUCCUCUCUGCACCUUUGUGUGCGUGUCCAGGGUGGCGGGGCUGGCAGCGCCGGGAUCAGGAAGUAUUGCUCGACCCCCGCAAUUAAUUCUGGGACGUGGCACCUGAGCAAUGAAGUGUGGCACUUGGCAUUGCUGGGAGCAGACCCCAGCUACCCAUUGCAUCGUAGGGCUGAGAGCCGCAGGUUGCAUGGAGGGGAACUAAUCCUGCACGACCCGCCAGCCUGCGCAGAGGGGAGGCAGCGCAGGUAUCCCUCAUUUCAGGUCCUCUCUUUUCCAAAGACCCAGCCUUUAUGUCAGGACUUCAGGUGAGGGACAAUUCAUCGUACCCCCGCCCGGGUACGUUGUUCCUGCGGUUAAUAACCCGGUGUGUAACAAGAAAAUAGGGGCACCGUAUUCCUCGAAUGAAUCUGUGCAGCUGCAUCUUGCAGUCCCUGCGUUCUCGGGAAGAUUUAAGAGCCUUUACCCAUUAGAAACGUUCUGUACAUAGAGGUGCUGUUGCCCACGCUCCGAUUGCUGUCAGCAUCGAGAUUAGGAAAAGGCGCUCAGCCCUACGCCUAUUGAGGCCAGGGGAAAAAGACCCCUCGACUUCGGGGAUAGCAAGUUUGGAGCAACCGGACUGGGGAACAGACUGCGCCGCACGGCUAGAGGCAACCUCUGCGUGGAGAUGACGGAAAAGAUAGCAGAAGCGAAUGAAAGCGAGGAGCCUGCGAAAGGCAAGGGGUCAGCUGGGGGAGCCAAGAGACCUUUUGCGGGACAACGUCCCGGGGUUGUUACCCGAGGCCUUACCACAGCUGUGUCUAACCAGUCUUCUCUGUCCCAGGCCGGCCACGCGUCCGCAGACAUCCCUGUAAACCAAGGCACAUGCACACUCAGCUCACCUGGGACUCGUUUCCACGUUCGUGACUGAUGUUUCUGGUGUUGUUUUAGCAUCGCUGCAAAGCAGCGUCCUGCAAGGUUUUGUGCCCACGGGCCUGUCUCAGCCACUUGUGCCCCAGCAGGGAGGGGUGCGGUGAGGUGUCUGCUUCUGCACACGCUGCCUUCCCCGCCUGAUGCCACGUCCCCCCCGGCGGUGCGGUGCUGCUUGGAUCCAGGCAGCUCUCGCUCCCGGCUGAGCCCCCGAUGCACACACGCCACCUGAUUUCCAUUGCAGGGGAGGGCCAGCUUGUGCAGAGCUCAUGCUGCGGCGAUCCCUGGUGCCGUACUGAAGCACACAGCCAUGGCCAGUGCUUAGGAGGACCCAGUGCACGCUCUCUUCCUUUUCUGGAGCAGGUUUGUCUCUGUUCUCAUGUGUUUUGGCGCUACCUCUGGGCCAUGCGUGUACACUGCCUAGUGCCUGGAAGCACGGGCCCCGCUGUGCUGUCCUAACAGCGAUGCGCACGUGGAGGAUGCCGUAUGCACGAGCUGGUUCUUCCACACCCACAGAUCAGGUACAACUUCAGAUUCGUCGUGCAGGCUGUUAGUGGGGACGUUUGUGCAGCGAACUGCCAGAGAGAAGGAAAGCCGUGGGGAACGUGUGACGAGCUUCCCUUUCAAACACGACUCCCUUUGCCAGAAAAAGUCUGUGCUGGACAAAUCCCCCACACGGGUAGCAUAACUAUCCUCUGGACUACUGUAUUUGGAGACGGUCUUUCACCAGCCAAAUGAUCGCUGAGAUGAAAGGAAUGAAAGAAGUGAUAGACAAUUGUAAAGACAUUAAGGGAAAUAAAUGAAACCCUAACAGAAAUGCAAAUUGCAUACGUUCAAGCGGUGUCUGUGCUUCCAGUGAUGCUGACAGUCCUCCAACAGCCACACUAAAAACUAAAGGAAAGGGUCAUUUGGGUUUAGAGACGAGCAGGAGUAAAGGGCCGUAACAUUAGCAUUUCAAUAGUAUUUUUCAUCUUUGUUUCUUGUUCUCCGCACUGACAACGUGCUCAGCACAAAGACGUGCUUUCGAAACAGGAGGCGAGGGCACUGUCCUGCUGAACUGCGACACGGCUGGAAAGGUACCUGGGACUCUGCCACUGCUCUGCUGGACGGCCUUGGGUGACACACUUCAUCUCGCAGGUCUCGUAGGCCCCGUCCAAUGUACUGUUCACCUGUGAAACCGCAUUGCUUCGCCCUUCCACGGUUUGGGAUUGUGAUUCUCAGCGGUGGAAUAGGACCGCCCUUUGAAUUUAGCUUCACAUUUGGUGGCUGAAAUGGCGACAUAACACCUGGGUUUCUUCUUUGCAUUGGGAACCAGGAUAACACCUUGGACCACCUCAUAUCCCCACUUACCUCCCUGUUUUGGCUGCCAAGGGAGCAUGCUUGGAGAGGAGAGAUGGGGAGAGGUCUAAGCAAGGCCUGGAUUAUGACCAAGUGGUUAGAGCACGGUGCUGGGAAAAGCCGAAGCAGGUUCAAGCUGUUUGUGGGUCGGCAGGACUUCAGACCCAUGUCUGCUGCUUCCCGGGCAAGGGGGCACACCAGUUAAUGUCCCUCUGUGCUGUCCUCAACUUUUGUGAACCUCUUGCACCGGCCAGUACCCCUCGUUGUCUGCUCGAAAACCGCACUGCUUCUUUCCAACGCCGUACAGUCGCCCAGCGGAGUCCACCCUGCUCCUGCAAGGCACGUCCACCUCCACUGCGCUACGCGCUGGCUGCAGGUCGGAGUAGCAGGAUGAGUGCCGUGUGAGCCUGCAGCUCUCUUUUCUUUCAUAGCAGCAACACGAGGCCAGGCAUGCUGUCCCCCACAGUUAUAAGCAGUGUGCCUAUAUAUAUCUCUGUCUCUGUCUCUGUAUACAUAUAAAGCUCUGUAUAUCUCUAUGUAGGCAUAUGCAUAGAGCUCUCUCUGUCUAUCACUAUAUAUCUCUAUCUCCAUUUCUA